CCUACGGGAGGCAGCAGUGGGGAAUAUUGCACAAUGGGGGGAACCCUGAUGCAGCGACGCCGCGUGAGUGAAGAAGUAUUUCGGUAUGUAAAGCUCUAUCAGCAGGGAAGAAAAUGACGGUACCUGACUAAGAAGCCCCGGCUAACUACGUGCCAGCAGCCGCGGUAAUACGUAGGGGGCAAGCGUUAUCCGGAUUUACUGGGUGUAAAGGGAGCGCAGACGGCUGUGCAAGUCUGGAGUGAAAGGCGGGGGCCCAACCCCCGGACUGCUCUGGAAACUGUAAAGCUGGAGUGCAGGAGAGGUAAGCGGAAUUCCUAGUGUAGCGGUGAAAUGCGUAGAUAUCAUGAAGAACUCCGAUCGCGAAGGCAAGUGUCCGGGGUGAAACUGACGCUGAGGCUCGAAAGUGCGGGUAUCAAACAGGAUUAGAUACCCGUGUAGUC
rnacentral:rRNA from 1 species